CAAAGUAGAGUCAGUUAGUUUGACAAUUCAUUUACACUGAGUAGUUUCUGUGCAAUUCAGAUAUUUUGA
rnacentral:tRNA from 1 species